rnacentral:rRNA from 1 species
CCUACGGGAGGCAGCAGUGGGGAAUAUUGCGCAAUGGGCGAAAGCCUGACGCAGCGACGCCGCGUGAGGGAUGAAGGUCUUCGGAUCGUAAACCUCUGUCAGCAGGGAAGAACGGUCACUGUGCUAAUCAGCAGUGAAUUGACGGUACCUGCAAAGGAAGCACCGGCUAACUCCGUGCCAGCAGCCGUGGUAAUACGGAGGGUGCGAGCGUUAAUCGGAAUUACGGGGCGUAAAGCGCUCGUAGGCGGGAUGUCAAGUCAAGGGUGAAACCCCCGCGCUCAACGUGGGAACUGCCGUUGAAACUGGCAACCUGGAGUGUGUGAGAGGAUGGUGGAAUUCCAGGUGUAGGGGUGAAAUCCGUAGAUAUCUGGAGGAACAUCAGUGGCGAAGGCGACUAUCUGGCACAUAACUGACGCUGAGGAGCGAAAGCGUGGGUAGCAAACAGGAUUAGAUACCCUAGUAGUC